UUCCUCUUCUCUGCAACUCCAGCCACCUCACGAUUCCGGCCACCUGGGGACGAACGAGUGGCACCGUUGGACUCCUCUACUCCUACCCAACCUCCCCACGGCGGUAACUCAUGGCGGCUUGGCCGAAAAACGAUGCAUCGGGUCCUUGAAGUUUACUGUAGCAGUUUGGGGUUUCGUCGAUUUCCGGCGAUUCCGGCCAUCUCCAGCCACCAAACCGGCGUCAAAGGUUCGGUUUUUGCCAAGGAUCAUUAUGCCCCUAGCCUUGAGCCACGACUUGAAGCAUGGAGGAAGAAUCGAAGGGCAAUGUUGCGAGCUACGGCUAGAUGAAGGGACUCGUUUGCGUGGUCGCCAACUAGUACUUUUGCAGGCGUUAUUAGUUGAGGUCGGGCGUACAUGGUUCGAGGCAUAGUUGAUGAAUGGCUUCCGCACUUCUUUGUUGGCUCUGAUCUAUUGUGGGUUAGUGUUUUGAGUAGUCCACUUUAG